rnacentral:rRNA from 1 species
CGUAGGUGGCAAGCGUUGUCCGGAUUUAUUGGGUUUAAAGGGUGCGUAGGCGGCCCUGUAAGUCAGUGCUGAAAUAUCCCGGCUUAACCGGGAGGGUGGCAUUGAUACUGCAGGGCUUGAGUAAAGUUGAGGUAGGCGGAAUUGACGGUGUAGCGGUGAAAUGCUUAGAUAUCGUCAAGAACACCGAUAGUGUAGACAGCUUACUAAGCUUUAACUGACGCUGAGGCACGAAAGUGUGGGGAUCAAACAGGAUUAGAUACCCUGGUAGUCCACACUGUAAACGUUGAAGACUCGCUGUUGGCGAUACACAGUCAGCGGCUGAGAGAAAUCGUUAAGUCUUCCACCUGGGGAUACGCCGGCAACGGUG